CCUACGGGGUGCAGCAGUCGAGAAUCAUUCACAAUGGGGGAAACCCUGAUGGUGCGACGCCGCGUGGGGGAAUGAAGGUCUUCGGAUUGUAAACCCCUGUCAUGUGGGAGCAAAUUAAAAAGAUAGUACCACACGAGGAAGAGACGGCCAACUCUGUGCCAGCAGCCGCGGUAAUACAGAGGUCUCAAGCGUUGUUCGGAAUCACUGGGCGUAAAGCGUGCGUAGGCUGUUUCGUAAGUCGUGUGUGAAAGGCGCGGGCUCAACCCGCGGACGGCACAUGAUACUGCGAGACUAGAGUAAUGGAGGGGGAACCGGAAUUCUCGGUGUAGCAGUGAAAUGCGUAGAUAUCGAGAGGAACACUCGUGGCGAAGGCGGGUUCCUGGACAUUAACUGACGCUGAGGCACGAAGGCCAGGGGAGCGAAAGGGAUUAGAUACCCUGGUAGUC
rnacentral:rRNA from 1 species